UGGGAGGCUGGUACACAAAUAGAGCUAAAAGUUUGCUCUGGUUGUCACAAGCUCUCCCUAUAGUAAAACUGCCUUCUGAUGACUGGGACGAAUUAAGGAAAAUCGUAACAGACAGGUACGGGGCAGACAAUG
ensembl:scaRNA SCARNA8 small Cajal body-specific RNA 8